GUCUAGGACCCCUGGGUGGUCGCGCACUUCCCGGCCAAUGCACCACAUGAAAGACCCCCACAGGGAGUUCCUCCUCGGGGAGGCGCGCACCCAGUAGGACGCUGAGACUG
rnacentral:pre_miRNA from 7 species